UACAGAGGUGGCAAGCGUUGUUCGGAAUUACUGGGCGUAAGGGCGAGUAGGUGGCCAUCUAAGUCAGACGUGAAAUCCCCCGGCUUAACCUGGGAACUGCGUCUGAUACUGGACGGUUUGAGUAUGGGAGAGGAACGUAGAAUUCCAGGUGUAGCGGUGAAUGCGUAGAGAUACCGGAAGAACACCGGUGGCGAAGGCGGUCUGCUGGGGUAAUGCUGACACUGAUGCGCGACAGCGUGGGAGCAACAGG
rnacentral:rRNA from 1 species